ACGCUCGACACCUACGGAGGCAGCAGUGGGGAAUAUUGGGCAAUGGGCGCAAGCCUGACCCAGCAACGCCGCGUGAAGGAAGAAGGCUUUCGGGUUGUAAACUUCUUUUGUCAGGGAACAGUAGAAGAGGGUACCUGACGAAUAAGCUCCGGCUAACUACGUGCUAGCAGCCGCGGUAAUCUGAGCGGGCUGGCAAGGC
rnacentral:rRNA from 1 species